rnacentral:rRNA from 1 species
UACGUAGGUGACGAGCGUUGUCCGGAUUUAUUGGGCGUAAAGAGCUCGUAGGCGGUCUGUCGCGUCUGCUGUGAAAACUCGGGGCUUAACCCCGGGCCUGCAGUGGGUACGGGCAGACUAGAGUGCGGUAGGGGAGACUGGAAUUCCUGGUGUAGCGGUGAAAUGCGCAGAUAUCAGGAGGAACACCGGUGGCGAAGGCGGGUCUCUGGGCCGUAACUGACGCUGAGGAGCGAAAGCAUGGGGAGCGAACAGG